rnacentral:rRNA from 1 species
AGCGUUGCUCGGAAUUACUGGGCGUAAAGGGAGCGUAGGCGGACAUUUAAGUCAGGGGUGAAAUCCCAGAGCUCAACUCUGGAACUGCCUUUGAUACUGGGUGUCUUGAGUGUGAGAGAGGUAUGUGGAACUCCGAGUGUAGAGGUGAAAUUCGUAGAUAUUCGGAAGAACACCAGUGGCGAAGGCGACUUACUGGACCAUUACUGACGCUGAGGCUCGAAAGCGUGGGGAGC